rnacentral:rRNA from 1 species
UACAGAGGUCCCAAGCGUUUGUUCGGAUUCACUGGGCGUAAAGGGUGCGUAGGUGGUCAGGUAAGUCUGAUGUGAAAGCUCUGGGCUCAACCCAGAAAUGGCAUUGGAUACUAUCUGGCUAGAGGAAUGGAGGGGGGACUGGAAUACUUGGUGUAGCAGUGAAAUGCGUAGAUAUCAAGUGGAACACCAGUGGCGAAGGCGAGUCCCUGGACAUUUCCUGACACUGAGGCACGAAAGCUAGGGGAGCAAACAGG